AGCCACGUGGCCGAGCGGUCAGGCGGAGCUUUGCAAAAUCUUUUACGCAGGUUCGAAUCCUGCCGUGGCGU
rnacentral:tRNA from 1 species